UAUUUUUUUGAGGAUUUUUGCAUUCAUAUUCAUAAUAGAAUAUGGAUAGAAUAGGCUAGAAUAUCAUAACAGAUUGGUGUGUGGUUUUCUUAUGUUGUCUUUGUCUGGUUUGGUAUCAAGGUAAUACAUCAUAGAAUGACUUGGGAAAUAUUUCUUCUAUUUUUUGAAAGAGUUUUCAAGUAUUAGUAUUAAUUCUUCUUUAAAUGUUUGGUGGAGGGGCUGGCCCAGUGGCUAGUGGUUAACUUUGCCAAUUCCGCUUCGGAGGCCUGGGGUUCGCAGGUUUGGACCCCUGGUACAGACCAAUGCACCGCUUGUCAAGCCAUGCUGUGGUGGCAUCCCAUAUAAAGUAGAGGAAGAUGGGCACAGAUGUUAGCCCAGGGCCAAUCUUCCUCAGCAAAAAGAGGAUUGGCAACGGAUGUUAGCUCAGGGCUAAUCUUCCUCACAAAAGGAAAAAAAAACAAUAAAUGUUUGGUAGAAUUCAGUAGUGAGGCCAUCUGGUCCAGGGCUUUUGUGUGUAGUUUUUUUUUUGUUUUGUUUUUAAUUUCUAAUUCUCUCUCUCUUCUUGUUAUAGAUCUAUUCAGAUUGUCUAUUUCUUCUUGAGUCAAUUAGGUACUUUGGGACUGUCUAGGAAGCUGCCUAUUUCAUCUAAGUUGUCUAAGCUUUUGGAUCAGAUUUUUGGAGUGACAUCAGCAUCACGGCAGAGUGAGCUUUCCCAUAAACUCUCCCUGGAUAAAUUACAAGAAAAAAGACAUUCACAUGCCAACAAAGGACACUCACACAACACAAGAGGACAGCUGAGAGACCCAUGCAGCCGCACAUCAGAGGGUGGAGGUGCUGGAGCCCCUGGAGGAAGUCGGGAGAAAUAACAUACCUGGCUCCAGGCAUCUAAUCUGGAUUACAACCUUAUGCGUAUGAUGGAAUAAGGAAUAAAGAUUUAUAAGGAUUACAUCCCCUUAUGCCUGUGAUGGAAUAACAAGAACCAGACUUCCCUACAGCAUCCAACAAGCGAAGAGCCAGAUGAACUACAUGAAUCAAACAUUUUCAGAUACUGGACAACAGGAGCUCAGGACAGUGUCUGGAGGCAGGAACCAAGUGAGGGGUCCCCACAGCUUCCCCAGCUCAGAGCCUACAGAGAGCUUCUAGAUCAGAGUGAGGAGGGGAUUCAGGCAGAGCAUGGAGGUACCCCUGAGUCAAGGAAACAGGGUUCAGAAUUUGAGGAGGGAAACACAGCUAGAAAUCUAGGGCCCAAGUACCAAAGAGGAGGGAGCUGCACAGGUCAAGUUCUGGAGAUCUGCAUGUGUGUUUGCUUGACUUUUUGCCUAGGCACUGAUCAGUGUAUGCAUGUGAGCAAACUACCCAGACUGGGUAAGAACCACCGGACAGAAGCAGGCUGAACAAUCCCUGGGGUCAGUCAGAGCUGGGAAGAUUUCAUGACCCCAGCAGCCAGAGUGGAAAACCUCCUAUCUGAUGGGUCAUAGUAUAGAGUCCUCAGACAGGUAUUGCUCUGUAGGGGAGCCAAAUUACCCUGUGUUGGUCUCACCUAACAAAACUUUAAAAGUAUCCUCAAAAAGACCAAACUGUUUCUAACUAACUGCAUUAUAAAACAAAGUCCAAAAAUAUUUAAAGGAACACUGUGGUGGUUAAUUUUACGCCUCAAUUUGACUAGGCUAAGGGAUGCCCAAAUAGCUGAUAAAGCAUUAUUUCUGGGUUUUUCUGUGAGAGUGCUUCUGGAAAAGGUUAGCAUUUAUAUGGUAGACUGAGUAAAGAAAAUGUGCCCUCACCAAUGUGGGUGGGCAUCAUCUAAUCCAUUGAGGGCCCAAAUAGAACAAAAAGAUGGAGGAAGGACGAAUUCUGUCUCUAUUUGAGCUGGGACAUCUGAACUUCUGGUUCUUGCACCAUCAGCCCUUGGACUGAAUUAUACCACCAGCUUUCCUGGUUCUUCAGCUUGCAGACGGCAUGUCAUGGGACUUCUCAGCCUCUAUAACUGUGUGAGCCAGUUCCUAUAACAAAUCUCCUCUUAUCUAUAUCUACAUGUAUCCUAUUGGUUCUGUUUCUCUGAAGAAUCCUGACUAAUACAAACACACACGCGUGCGUGCGCGCAAAAUUCACCAACAUAAAAUUCACAAUAUCUAGCCUCUAGUCCAAAAUUACAAGGCACGCACGAAAGCUUAGAAGUUCAAUUCAUAACGAAGAGAAAUCAACCAAUAGAAACCCACCCAUAAGUGACAUUUAUGAAAGAAUUAGUAUAUAAAGACUUGCAAAUAUCUAUUAUACACAGAUGCCCUACAGUCACAAAGGUGAAGGAAAUUAUGACCCUAAGAAGAUAAAUGGGCAAUAUAAAAAUGACUGAGAUGAAAAAUCAAAGCACCCUCACCUUCUCAUUAAAAUUAGAAUGAGGUAGCAUAAUAUGGUGAUGGACUGUAGAGCCAAAGUGCCAAGUUCUAUUCCUAGCUCUGAAAAUUACCACCAUGGGGUCCUGUUCCAGUUAGGGAAACAUGCUGUGCUUUAGUUUUCUGUUUUGAAAAAUGAAGACAGUAAUAAUGCCUUCCUUUUAGGUUGCUAUAAAGAUAAGUGGGUUAAUAUUUUUAAGAAAUAUAGAAGAUAUUUUAUGGGCUGUAUAAAUGCUUAUGAAAUUAACUGAAAGACACAUAAGCCAGUGGCCUGCCAUAAACACAGUAAGUACCUCCAUUUUACCUCCUUCUUUAUUGUUGCAAUUUCAGCUGCAUUAACACUGAAAUCCUGGGCUAUGUCUCUUUUCUCUGCAUCCUCAGGGCCUAUUCUAGAGCCCAGAGGGCAGGAAAUUCUCCCUUUAUGGAAAUUUUUUUGUUCAUAUUGUUAAAGGUUUCAUUUUUAUUUUUUUUUAAUUUAUUUUUGUUAGGAAGAUCAGCCCUGAGCUAACAUCCAUGCCAAUCCUCCCCUUUUUUUGCUGAGGAAGACCAGCCCUGAGCUAACACCAUACCUAUCUUCCUCUACUUUAUGUGGGACGCUGCCACAGCAUCGCCUGACAAGCGGUGCAUUGGUGUGUGCCCAGGGUCCGAAUAAAGGUUUUAUUUUUAUAAUCAAAUAACUGCAGCUGAUAAGCACCAAAGCUGUCACCUAUAAAGACCAUACUCCAACUCAGGCAUGGGUCCCCACUAUGCAAAGAAGAGCUGCUACUAGGAAAGCUGGUGGCAAAUGCAAGAGCAAAUGACAGGAAUCUUCAAAGUUCAAAGUCCAUGGUGAUGUCAGAGUCGAGGCCAGAGUGGUCUCAGACAGAGUAGACCCUGCAGCCACAGGGCACACCCCUGAUGUUCCUGCCCAUCUCCCACUGGCUUUGGGGAACCUCACAAAGGCAGCUUGUUCCAAAGUUGGUACCCCGAGUCUACUCAUUUAGGUACACAAGCUUUAUUUGUUGUUGUUAGUGUUUCCAUCAAAUCUCUUCAAUUUGAACCUUUCAGUAUUUCCUAGGUUUUAGAUGUUUUGCUUAUAAAAAGCAUAUAGCUAAAUACUGCUUAUUUUUUCCACUAUAAGUCAUUUAACUGGAUGAUUUAGUCCAUUUACAUUGAAUGUAAGUAAUGAUAUGUUUAUAUUUAAAUAGAUCAUCUUAUUUUGUGCUUCCCAUUUGUUCCAUUUGUUCUGUAUCCCCUCCCCUUUUCCAUCCUUAAAUCUUUUUGGGUUGACAACUUUUAAUCAUUCUAUCUUUUUUCUCUCUUCCAGGCUGAAGUUACUUAUUCUAUUAUUUUUAUUCUAGAGAUUAGUAUAGAAAUGCACCACAUGCAUUAGUAUUUAGCAAAGUCCAAUAUUAGUUGGUGUUUACUAUCUUCCUAGAAAAUAAAAAGUUUAGAGUUAUGAACACUUUUCUGCAUAUGUUUUAGAAAAUAUAUGUACCCAUAUCUGUUGGAACUAGGAGUGAAAUUGCUGAGUAGUAGGAUAUACAGAUGUCAGCUUUAAUAUUUAAUACUGCCAAACAAUUUUAUAAUAUGAUUGAACCAAUUUACAUUCCCAUUAGUAGUGUAUGUUGUGCAUUUUCCCUCAUCAUUGCAAACAUGUAGCAUUGCCUAUCUUUUAUUUUACUGGAUCUGGUGGCUGUGAGUUGGUAUCUCAUUGUGGUUUUAUUUUAUAUUUUCCUGAUGCCUAAUGAAGUUGAGUACCUUUUCCUAUGUUUAUUGGCCAUUUGGAUAUCCUACUCUUUUUUUCCCUUUUGAUAUCCUUUUUGUGUAUUCAUGUUUCAUGCUCAUUGUUCUAUUGCAUUGACUGUCUGUUAUUGAUUUCUAG